rnacentral:rRNA from 1 species
UACGGAGGGUGCAAGCGUUAUCCGGAUUUACUGGGUUUAAAGGGUGCGCAGGCGGAUAUGUAAGUCAGUGGUGAAAUCUCCAGGCUUAGCCUGGAAAUUGCCGUUGAUACUAUAUAUCUUGAAUGCUGUGGAGGUAAGCGGAAUAUGUCAUGUAGCGGUGAAAUGCUUAGAGAUGACAUAGAACACCUAUUGCGAAGGCAGCUUACUACGCAGAUAUUGACGCUCAUGCACGAAAGCGUGGGGAUCAAACAGG